rnacentral:rRNA from 1 species
CCCUUAGAUGUUCUUGGCCGCACGCGUGCUACACUGAGUAAUUCAAUGGGUAAGGGAACGCUAGAGCAUUACCUAAUCUUGAAAUUUGCUCGUGAUGGGGAUCGACGGUUGCAAUUUUCCGUCGUGAACGAGGAAUACCUUGUAGGCGCAUGUCAUCAUCAUGCGCCGAAUACGUCCCUGCCCUUUGUACACACCGCCCGUCGCUCCUACCGAUUGAGUGAUCCGGUGAGGCUCUGGGACCUGGACGGAAAGAGCGUUUCGCUUGUUCUGUUUGGGAAACUUGGUCGAACCUUAUCAUUUAGAGGAAGGAGAAGUCGUAACA